rnacentral:lncRNA from 1 species
CACCCCAGGGGCCACCAGCAGCAUAACUGAACCAGCAGCCGGGACUUCUGGGAGAUCUGCUUUGGCAGAGAGCGCUCCAGCAGACAAGCCAGACGUGUCGGCUCCUGUCGGCUCCGUGAGAGGUGCAGUAGCGGAGCCGGAGAGGGUGGUGCCGGUCAAACCUGAGGCCCAGGUCGGACUGGGACAGCAGACCUAUGAUGCCAGAGCUCAGAGGACCUACAAAGAGGAGCUACGCAGAGAGCCCAUCACUGACAAGAGGAUUGUUGGGGUGGAGAAGGUGCCAGCAGGCGGGAGGGUCUCCUUCCUUAACCCAGAUCACCUGAAACCUAUGAGGAAGAGGAAGAGGAAGGAAUACCUCAGUCCCUCUGAGGAAGACUCUGACAUCGAAGGCACGGUGGGACGGCAUUGCUAUUUACAUUUAACAUCCAGAUACAAAUAUAGAUGUUCUCAUA